rnacentral:rRNA from 1 species
CAUUAGCUAGUUGGUGAGGUAACGGCUCACCAAGGCCACGAUGCAUAGCCGACCUGAGAGGGUGAUCGGCCACAUUGGGACUGAGACACGGCCCAAACUCCUACGGGAGGCAGCAGUAGGGAAUCUUCGGCAAUGGACGAAAGUCUGACCGAGCAACGCCGCGUGAGUGAAGAAGGUUUUCGGAUCGUAAAACUCUGUUGUUAGAGAAGAACAAGGAUGAGAGUAACUGUUCAUCCCUUGACGGUAUCUAACCAGAAAGCCACGGCUAACUACGUGCCAGCAGCCGCGGUAAUACGUAGGUGGCAAGCGUUGUCCGGAUUUAUUGGGCGUAAAGCGAGCGCAGGCGGUUUCUUAAGUCUGAUGUGAAAGCCCCCGGCUCAACCGGGGAGGGUCAUUGGAAACUGGGAGACUUGAGUGCAGAAGAGGAGAGUGGAAUUCCAUGUGUAGCGGUGAAAUGCGUAGAUAUAUGGAGGAACACCAGUGGCGAAGGCGGCUCUCUGGUCUGUAACUGACGCUGAGGCUCGAAAGCGUGGGGAGCAAACAGGAUUAGAUACCCUGGUAGUCCACGCCGUAAACGAUGAGUGCUAAGUGUUGGAGGGUUUCCGCCCUUCAGUGCUGCAGCUAACGCAUUAAGCACUCCGCCUGGGGAGUACGACCGCAAGGUUGAAACUCAAAGGAAUUGACGGGGGCCCGCACAAGCGGUGGAGCAUGUGGUUUAAUUCGAAGCAACGCGAAGAACCUUACCAGGUCUUGACAUCCUUUGACCACUCUAGAGAUAGAGCUUCCCCUUCGGGGGCAAAGUGACAGGUGGUGCAUGGUUGUCGUCAGCUCGUGUCGUGAGAUGUUGGGUUAAGUCCCGCAACGAGCGCAACCCUUAUUGUUAGUUGCCAUCAUUCAGUUGGGCACUCUAGCAAGACUGCCGGUGACAAACCGGAGGAAGGUGGGGAUGACGUCAAAUCAUCAUGCCCCUUAUGACCUGGGCUACACACGUGCUACAAUGGGAAGUACAACGAGUCGCGAAGUCGCGAGGCUAAGCUAAUCUCUUAAA